GCAUCCAGCCCAGUCUAGUGUUACAUUCUGCCUUCCUGGAUCUAAAACCCUUAGAAUCCACUCCCAUACACGUCACCAGUAUUGUCGUUCUUUUUCUGUUUCCUCCUAGGUCCGUGUAUACCCAUCACCGUGGAACAUGCUGAGAUUUGACCACAGCUGGGGCUAGUGACAACAGCAGGUGGCUGUGAUGAGUCUUGAGAACAGCAUCUGCUCCAGCCGAGAUUAUCACAGGGUUUCUUAACAGAGGAAGAGCAGUCUCCUCCGGCACUGCGGAGGGCAAGCAGUCUCAGCCUUGUGGCUGCAAGAAAUAAGAACUUCCUUAAGGGCUGCCAUGGAAGCUGUCUGAUUCUCAGACUGUGGCUCGAAGGAAGAGUUAAUGGACCUGGGAUUGUCAUUUUCUAUGUCAUUAUCUACACAUUUUUCAAAUUCUUAUUAUAUUAUUAUUUUUUAGAGCUAGGGUCUUGCUCUGUCACCUGGCUAGAGUGCAGCAGUGCAAUCGUAGCUUACUACAGCCUCAAACCCCUGGGCUCAAGCAAUCCGCCUGCCUCAGCCUCCCAAAGUGUUGGGAUUAAAGGCCUGAGCCACCA